rnacentral:misc_RNA from 1 species
GUGAAUCAUCGAAUCUUUGAACGCAAAUUGCGCUUCCUAGCAUCCCGGGAAGUAUGCCUGUUUGAGGGUCAGUAUUAACAAAAAAAUCGGGUUGGUUGCAAAUUGGGGAGUUUCCGGAGUUUGGGGCAUCUUAACUUUUUUGGGUAAGGGGCUUAAAAUUGACCUUUUUUGCGCAUUUUUAGACGGAAAUUAAUUUUUUUUUUUUCGUUUAUUCUUUAUUCC